AGACAGUAAAGCUCACUCUACACCGUCCUGUCACGACUGUCAGGGCAGAAACAUCACUGGGCAAGGUGAUUCUGUACAGGUAUGGUACUCAGUCAGUUACAGACUGCAGCUGAAGGGGGUGAAAACAGAAUGUUCUAGAAACACAGUGUUGUUACCUGGCCAUGAACAACAACCCAGCCAUUAGACACACAAAGAACAGUCCUUUGGUCCACAAUGUCGCGCUGACCUUUUAAACUCCUCAAAUAUCAAUCUAACCCUUCCCUCUACCAUAACUCUCCAUUGAUCAAUCAUCCAUCUGCCUACUUAGGAGUUUCUUAAAUAUCCUUAGUGCAUCUAUCCAUUCUAUGCACCUUCCCUAUAAUACCAUGGGCUCUUAUCUUAAGUAGUCUCAUGUGUGGCACCUUGUCAGAGGCCUUCUGAAAAUCCAAGUACACAACAUCCACUGAUUCUCCUUUGUCUGUCUUACCUGCUAUUCCUUUAAAGAAUUCCAAGAGUUUUGUUUGGCAGGAUUUCCCCUUAAGGAAACCAUGAUGACUUUGGCCUAUUUUAUCAUGUGCCUCCGAGUACACCGAACCUCAAUAAUGGCCUCCAACGUCUUACCAACCACUGAAAUCAGGGUAAUUUCCUGCCUUGUGCUUCUUUCCCUCCCUCCUUAAGGAGUGGAGUGACGUGUAAUUUUCCAAUCCUCUGGAACCAUUCCAGAAUGUGAUGACGAUGAUGAUGGCUGGUUCUUCGCUUGCGAACAUCAGGAGGGAAGAAGAGUCCUCAGGGGCGACGGCACGAUUGUUUCUUCCCGCCCACGCUACAUAGGUUUAUCCUGAGGAUCAGCGUGUGCGGACCCAUUCCACUCUUUAGGCUGGGGGAUGUUCCACAAUGGCACAGCGAGCUGCGAUGACCGCGGUGACAAGGCAAUAGGUUCAGUAUCAGAGUUUUCCUUCUAGACAGACUGCCUGGCAAGGCUAACGAGUCCCAUCUACCCGGGUCCUUCUCUUAGUCUGGCUGCCAGCCAAGGCUGCUGAGCCCAGCCUGCCCGCCCAGUUAUACUGCUGAACGUUUGGUUGCACCAUGACAUAGCAAACUCAUUGAGGACAGGGACGACAUGUGAAGGCGUUGCUAUGGACACGGCGGUGUAGGAGAGACCGUCAGCGAGUGGCCUCCUGCAUGGCAAGCCAAACAGUGGUCCUGCGGCGAUCGCUACACCUGGAAAGGAGAAGCUAUGGAAGACUCUUCACCUUUCUUAAGUGAGCAGGACAUUCAGCCCAGGUCUCACCAGUCUAGAAUCACCAGUAACUCCUGAAUGAUUGUUACAACUGCCUCCACAAUCUCUUCAGCCAGCUCUUUCAGAACCCUGGGGUGCAGUCCAUCUGGUCCAGGUGACUCAUCUACCUUCAGACCUUUCAACUUUCCAGGGCUGUGGGCCAGCUACAGUCACUCACUCGCCUGGUCCUGUCACACUGGCAUCAGACAGGGAAUCACUUCUCUGGAUCCGACCUCAGAUUUCUGUGGCACUAUUGCUCUAUACACUGGUCUAUGCGAUGGUCUGGAGUGGAUCAGUUUCUUUCACCAUGACUCCGAUGCAUUCGGCACCGUGACAGAAAUAUGAAAAUGACUGGGGUAGUAAAAAAGGUUCACAUGAAUGAGGUGGCUGGAGUCCUAUUAAAGUUUGUGAUCUACAGAUGUACCUCAGACUAUGGUUCUCCACGUGCGGAGGGUUCUCAAUCUCAGCCUGAGGUUUUGAUAUCUCCAGGAAUGGCCUGGAAAGCAUGCACCUUCAGGGUGUGGCCCCGUGUAUGACCCAGUUCCUCACCGAUGUCACCAACUGAAGCAUCGCAGGAGACUGAAACAUCGAGACAACAGGCGGUGGGCACUGCUGUCAGAAACAGCCCCUAUAUUCGAGCAAAUUUCUCUCUUUUUGAUAGAGAGCGAGUGCCUAUUGGUCCUUGAGUUGGGGGGACUCGGAGAAGCGACGCAGAAGAUUGUAACAUCGAAACAGUGAGCUUCUGGUUUCAUGCUCUCGUUGUCACAGGAGCGACCAUCUCUCACUCACUAGUUAGAGAGACAGUCUGAGAUACCGAAGUGUUGGGAUGGACGUGGUUUUUGAUGAAUUCUAAGAUCAUCUCUUUGGGGGCUUUCCUAU